GGACAAUGGGCGCAAGCCUGAUCCAGCCAUUCCGCGUGAGUGAAGAAGGCAUUCGGGUUGUAAAGCUCUUUCGUCAGGAAGGAAAAGGCGGGCUCUAACAUACCUCGUUCUUGACGGUACCUACAGAAGAAGCACCGGCUAACUACGUGCCAGCAGCCGCGGUAAUACGUAGGGUGCGAGCGUUAUUCGGAAUUAUUGGGCGUAAAGCGUGCGCAGGCGGUUUGUUAAGCAAGACGUGAAAUCCCCCGGCUUAACCUGGGAAGGGCGUUUGAAACUGGCAGUCUAGAGUGCGUCAGAGGGGGGUGGAAUUCCACGUGUAGCAGUGAAAUGCGUAGAUAUGUGGAGGAACACCAAUGGCGAAGGCAGCCCCCUGGGAUGUCACUGACGCUCA
rnacentral:rRNA from 1 species